rnacentral:rRNA from 1 species
AUUGAACGCUGGCGGCAUGCUUUACACAUGCAAGUCGAACGGCAGCGCGGGGCAACCUGGCGGCGAGUGGCGAACGGGUGAGUAAUAUAUCGGAACAUACCCUAGAGUGGGGGAUAACGUAGCGAAGUUACGCUAAUACCGCAUACGCACUAAGGUGGAAAGUGGGGGAUCUUCGGACCUCAUGCUCAUGGAGUGGCCGAUAUCUGAUUAGCUAGUUGGUGAGGUAAAGGCUCACCAAGGCGACGAUCAGUAGCUGGUUUGAGAGAACGACCAGCCACACUGGAACUGAGACACGGUCCAGACUCCUACGGGAGGCAGCAGUGGGGAAUUUUGGACAAUGGGGGCAACCCUGAUCCAGCAAUGCCGCGUGAGUGAAGAAGGCCU